GACGAACGCUGGCGGCGUGCCUAAUACAUGCAAGUAGGACGCAGUUGCGAACGGGUGAGUAAAGCGUAGGUAACUACAUCUUAGAGGGGGAUAACUCUUGGAAACGAUAGCUAAUACCGCAUAAUAGUAGAUGGACAUGCGUUGUAUUAGCUAGUAGGUAGGGUAAUGGCCUACCUAGGCAACUGUACAUAGCCGACCUGACAGGGUGAUCGGCCACCCUGGGACUGAGACACUGCCCAGACGCCUACGGGAGGCAGCAGUAGGGAAUCUUCGGCAAUGGGGGGAACCCUGACCGAGCAACGCCGCGUGAGUGAAGAAGGUUUUCGGAUCGUAAAGCUCUGGUGUUAAGGAAGCGGUACUUAACCAGAAAGGGACGGCUAACUACGUGCCAGCAGCCGCGGUAAUUC
rnacentral:rRNA from 1 species